AAUAUGUUAUUCUGCCUUUUCUCUUUGGUUAUGAAAAAUAAUCUAUGCCAUUUUUCAUGUAUAUGAAAUGUACAGGUUUAUGCUUUUUUACAUCUCCCUAUUAUAUGUUUUUUACCACUAUUAGGAAAAAAAGGAAAAAGUUGAAAAGUUUAAACUUUGUGUUGAUUGUUGUUUUGUUAUCUGGUUUGGUUGGAUUUCAUGGACGAUGAUAGCAAGCUCAACCAUUGAAAUGCUUGCAAUGUGUACAAAGAAAAAAAAGUGAUAAUUAUGCAGUGAAAGUAAUUAAGAUAUUAAUGAAUGGAGAUUAAAAUAGAAAUGCAAUCAUGUCAAAUUAAAAAGAAGUGCAAUCGAUUGUUUGAGCUUUUUAGAUGAGUUUUCUUGGUCUCUCUCCUUUUUUUUUCAGUUUCAUUUUUUUUUUCUUCUGUCUCUGGUUUUUGUUUUCAGCAAGUUUUUUAUUUUUUAUUUUAUUCUUGGUAUUUCUUUUUCUUAGCCUUCUAACAGAAAAAAGAUUGUUUCUUUCCAGCAAGAUAGUAAUGAUUCUUUCUAUCAAGUUCUUGAUGGUUGUUCUUUGUUUUUCUUUUUGCGUCAAAUAAACUUUUCUCCUCCAGUCAUUCGAUUAAAGACCUGCGCAGCUCAUUGCCUUUUCGGUUUAUUCAUUUAUUUUAAUUUGCCACUUGAAGAUGUCUUUAUGCCCUUUUGUGUUUGUUCUCUUCAUUACUCUUUUUUGGCUAGUCGCAGCAGCUCCUAGUCUACAACAAUUUCUCCCUGUAAUGCGAGAUCAUCUUCAAAUUUUUUUCUUAAGAGGAUAUGUGCGUCAACGCCAUCCCCAGCAAACCUGCCUAUCCUCACUGCACAGCUGACACCUAGGCUAUGGUUGCUUACGACCACUGUGUGAUUUUAUUCCUUGAGAUCUCUUGAUGUUGUUAGGUUUCGUUGAUCGAAUGAACUUCAUUAUGAUUCUUUUUGAUUGGCUGUUUUAGACAUGCAUCACUCACCCUGUUUAAAUAAUGCCGAGUUAUUCCUUGAGAUCUCUUGAUGCUGUUAGGUUUUGCUUAAUGUCUACUCAAUGAAGGAGGAAAUUUAUUUGAUGGUAUAAGACUUUCUUCUGACAAAGACUGUACCUUCUGCAAGACAUUGUUAGACGAAGAGCUAUAGUUAUAUAUGCCAAAAAUAAGAGAGAGAGAGAGAUGGCUAGUGAAGAGACUCUGUGCUGCAGGCAAAGUUCUGUUUAUAACAGGAUGGUUCAUAUUUUUAAUUUAGAAUACUUGAUAUGAGAUUGUGUUUAUUGU